rnacentral:rRNA from 1 species
GACGAACGCUGGCGGCGUGCCUAAUACAUGCAAGUAGAACGCUGAAGGAGGAGCUUGCUUCUCUGGAUGAGUUGCGAACGGGUGAGUAACGCGUAGGUAACCUGCCUGGUAGCGGGGGAUAACUAUUGGAAACGAUAGCUAAUACCGCAUAAUAGCAGUUAUUGCAUGAUAACUGUUUGAAAGGUGCAAUUGCACCACUACCAGAUGGACCUGCGUUGUAUUAGCUAGUUGGUGGGGUAACGGCUCACCAAGGCGACGAUACAUAGCCGACCUGAGAGGGUGAUCGGCCACACUGGGACUGAGACACGGCCCAGACUCCUACGGGAGGCAGCAGUAGGGAAUCUUCGGCAAUGGACGGAAGUCUGACCGAGCAACGCCGCGUGAGUGAAGAAGGGUUUCGGAUCGUAAAGCUCUGUUGUAAGAGAAGAACGAGUGUGAGAGUGGAAAGUUCACACUGUGACGGUAUCUUACCAGAAAGGGACGGCUAACUACGUG